rnacentral:rRNA from 1 species
UUUAGAUCCUGGCUCAGGAUGAACGCUGGCGGCAUGCCUAACACAUGCAAGUCGAACGGGGUUUAUAUAACAGAACUCUCCGGAGGGAAGAUAUAUAAACCUAGUGGCGGACGGGUGAGUAACGCGUGGGCAACCUGCCCUGUACCGGGGGACAACAGCCAGAAAUGGCUGCUAAUACCGCAUAAGCCUGCGGUGCCGCAUGGCACAGCAGGGAAAACCACGGUGGUACAGGAUGGGCCCGCGUCUGAUUAGUUAGUUGGCAGGGUAACGGCCUACCAAGACGAUGAUCAGUAGCCGGCUUGAGAGAGUGGACGGCCACAUUGGGACUGAGACACGGCCCAGACUCCUGCGGGAGGCAGCAGUGGGGAAUAUUGCACAAUGGGGGGAACCCUGAUGCAGCAAUGCCGCGUGGGUGAAGAAGCACUCCGGUGCGUAAAGCCCUGUCAGCAGGGAAGAAAAUGACAGUACCUGACCAAGAAGCCCCGGCUAACUACGUG